CAAGAAGGCUAAUCUAUAUAUCUUAUAUAAACACAACCCACUAUCUGUCAUUUAUUGUAUUUCUCUUGACAUGCAAUCUGUCCACAUCAUCUUCAUGUCAUCUCCAUGUCAUCUCCAUGUCAUCGGAUCCGGUAAGCCCACCAGCGGUCAGUGCACCGAAUCAGUAAGCCGCGGGUUCCUCGCCCCGCACCCGCGUCGCCCCUCCUCGCGUACCCGCUCGAUGCCUGCGAUGCCGCCCCUCGCGCCUCCGUGGAUCUCGUGCGCACCGUCGCACCUGGGUUGCCCGGUGCAGAGCAGCGCGCCCGCCCCUCCGGCAACACCUGCACCUGCGCGGUGAGCCUCCUGGAUCCCGCCCCACGCCCAGCAGCCUGGAUGCCCCCUCCACCCCGACGCUUGGCCUGGAGCCGACCAUCUGGAUGCUCGAGCUGGCUGCCUGGAUGAUCCCCCUCGACACUUGGCCUGGAUUGAAUCGACCAGCCGAAGCAGCCGAGCCGUCGACUCCCACACGCCAGUGCAGCACCCCCUGGAGGUCAGUGCAGUAGAAGAGGAAACUGCCCCCACUAUCGCAUUUAAGAGGCAAGAGUCACCACUGUAGACUGAAUUAUUGCAGAGAUUACUACUGCGUCUAUGCAUUUAAGAGGAAAUAAGAAGGCACGUUCAUGAGAAUAUACAUCCUUUGGUUCACAGAACGUCACAGCGAAGUCAGCAUUGUCCAGCCAGAAUAGGGAAAAUGCUGAAUGUAAGCUAGGACCUCAUGUUCUCUUGAAUCAGGCUAUAUAAUCAUUUGUUUGGUUACUUUAAUUCCGGUUGUUUCGUUACUUCAGUUCCAGGUACGCCUCAUCUCCAUUGAUCUGUCUUUACUGCUUGCUUUUCUUUUGUUUUGAUUGAUGCUAACGUGCUUCAAGACUUUGAUAAACAUUAGAAAACGAAUUUCCGUCGUCCAUCCGUACUAGGUUGCACAUUUAGUUUUUCAUCUUAUUUAACGUUGUCCCUUUAGGCUUAGGCAUGUACGUGUAUGAAUCUUUGAAUAUUUUUGCCUACCACUUAAAACCAUCAACAAUCGCUUCUUAAACUGCAACCAAAACCAGAAUGAUAAGCUAUUCUAUAAUCCAAUAUCAUGAUUAGAGUUUAUUUUAUUUUCACCUAAUAAACCA